rnacentral:rRNA from 1 species
CGCUAACCUAAGAGAUUAGGCGUUCCCUUCGGGGACGCAAUGACAGGUGGUGCAUGGUCGUCGUCAGCUCGUGUCGUGAGAUGUUGGGUUAAGUCCCGCAACGAGCGCAACCCUUGUUACUAGUUGCCAGCAUUUAGUUGGGCACUCUAGUGAGACUGCCGGUGACAAACCGGAGGAAGGUGGGGACGACGUCAGAUCAUCAUGCCCCUUAUGACCUGGGCUACACACGUGCUACAAUGGAUGGUACAACGAGUUGCGAACUCGCGAGAGUAAGCUAAUCUCUUAAAGCCGUUCUCAGUUCGGACUGUAGGCUGCAACUCGCCUACAUGAAGUCGGAAUCGCUAGUAAUCGCGGAUCAGCAUGCCGCGGUGAAUACGUUCCCGGGCCUUGUACACACCGCCCGUCACACCAUGGAAGUUUGCAAUGCCCAAAGUCGGUGGCCUAACCAUUUGGAGGGAACCGCCUAAGGCAGGGCAGAUGACUGGGGUGAAGUCGUAACAAGGUAGCCGUAGGAGAACCUGCGGCUGGAUCACCUCCUUUCUAAGGA